CGUCCAAUCCCAACCCGGCAACGCGAGAAUAUAUCAAUCCAUCCUCGCGUCGCGUGAUCUCAUCUCGCCCUCGCUCACCUACAUCUCCGUCCGCAAGCGUCAGCCAGGCUGCCCCGGGAGGCCGGGAGGAAGCAGAUCGGAGAAGGCAAGCCACGGAUUUCCUUCUCGCCUUCUGGACCCCAUGUGAUCUGUUGUAAUGGCUCGAUUGUACAUCGGCAACCUGGAUCCCCGGGUGACCGCUCGGGAGCUGGAGGACGAGUUCCGCACGUUCGGGGUUCUUCGCAGUGUCUGGGUUGCUCGGAAACCACCUGGCUUUGCGUUUAUUGAUUUUGAUGAUAAGAGGGACGCAGAGGAUGCAAUCCGUGACCUAGAUGGCAAGAAUGGAUGGAGAGUUGAGUUAUCUCGUAAUGCCAGCGGUGGUCGUGGAGGUCGUGACCGGCAUGGUGGGUCUGAGUCCAAGUGUUACGAGUGUGGUGAGACUGGCCACUUUGCUCGUGAGUGCCGUUUGAGGAUUGGUUCUGGAGGUCUAGGCAGCGGAAGGCGCCGAAGCCGUAGCCGUAGCCGCAGUCGCAGUCCCAGAUAUCGCCGGAGUCCAAGUUACGGUAGAAGGAGUUACAGUCCUGCAGCACGCUCUCCAAGGCGUCGUAGCGUCUCACCAGCUCGUGGACGCAGCUAUAGCAGGUCACCACAGCACAAGGGUGCACGUGAAGAAUCUCCCUAUGAUAAUGGAUACCGCCGCAGCAGGAGCUAGAGCCAGAUCGUUGUAUCCGACGACGAGCGUUAUGUGACAGAUAUUGGGAAAGCUAUGGUCAAUAACCUGCUUGACAGAUCCUUCGUCGACUGCUUGACUUUGGUUAAGGCAUCGUCCUGCACUGCUUAAACGACUCGGCCGACUACGGCUUUCAGUUCUGUCUUCAUGGUUUUGUUCUGCGCUCUACAUUCUUCGCACACCCUCGCAUGCUUCAUUCAGUCUGCCGUGUGUUAAUCUGCCUGCGUAUCUUCUCGAAGAUGCUGCGCAUCGCAAAAGCAGUAAUGACCUUCCUUCUCAUACCAUUUGGUAAGGUUUGAUUUGCUGACAAAUGCAGCAUCUGGUAAGUUUCUCCCCGUAGGUUUGGUCUCCGUGCUGCGUGCGCUGCUCCUGGUUCAGGAACUGCAGUAUGUUAGAUGGAUGAGGAUGACUGAAUGACUCACCUACUCACGUUAUCAUGCCUUCAGAGGACCCAAGUUAGUGAGCGCCAGGAAGUGAAUUGACCAGGCCAAAUGCUACGUUGAGCCGACUUUGGCUUUGCUCUGCGAUCUCCACUUGCCAACAUGUGUUGCCUUCGACGAAGUCUUCUUCGCCUUCCGCUUCCUUCUCUGCAGCAUCCUGAUUGAUAUUCUUCAUUCUUCGAGUGACAUGCAGUCACCCUAAUUGAUCGUCAUAGAGCCUGCGUUGAAGUCGAAUCCCCCCUAAUGGACAAUGUAGUUAAAUUGUUAUUAGCUUGUUUCUUGUUGGAUAGACUAAUGUCAGAUGCUGUUUGGUAUAAAAUGGUAACCAUCUGGUUGAUGAUUGGCGGCGAACUAUUUGUUCAGCACGUGGUUGCUAUAUGACAAGUCACAAGGUAUUAUUAACCUGAGUGGUAGGCUGCAUUUGGAUCAACCAGGCUGGUUGAGAGGCAGCAUGUGCUUGUUUGGUUGCUCGUCCGUGCAUCUAGUAGCUUAAGUUGAAGUGUUUGGUUAA